GACGAACGCUGGCGGCGUGCUUAACACAUGCAAGUCGAACGGAAAGGCCCUGCUUUUGUGGUGUGCUCGAGUGGCGAACGGGUGAGUAACACGUGAGUAACCUGCCCUUGACUUUGGGAUAACUUCAGGAAACUGGGGCUAAUACCGGAUAGGAGCUCCUGCUGCAUGGUGGGGGUUGGAAAGUUUCGGCGGUUGGGGAUGGACUCGCGGCUUAUCAGCUUGUUGGUGGGGUAGUGGCUUACCAAGGCUUUGACGGGUAGCCGGCCUGAGAGGGUGACCGGCCACAUUGGGACUGAGAUACGGCCCAGACUCCUACGGGAGGCAGCAGUGGGGAAUAUUGCACAAUGGGCGGAAGCCUGAUGCAGCAACGCCGCGUGCGGGAUGACGGCCUUCGGGUUGUAAACCGCUUUCGCCUGUGACGAAGCGUGAGUGACGGUAAUGGGUAAAGAAGCACCGGCUAACUACGCG
rnacentral:rRNA from 1 species